rnacentral:rRNA from 1 species
AUUGAACGCUGGCGGCAGGCCUAACACAUGCAAGUCGGGCGGAUGAAGGGAGCUUGCUCCUGGAUUCAGCGGCGGACGGGUGAGUAAUGCCUAGGAAUCUGCCUGGUAGUGGGGGAUAACGUCCGGAAACGGGCGCUAAUACCGCAUACGUCCUGAGGGAGAAAGUGGGGGAUCUUCGGACCUCACGCUAUCAGAUGAGCCUAGGUCGGAUUAGCUAGUUGGUGGGGUAAAGGCCUACCAAGGCGACGAUCCGUAACUGGUCUGAGAGGAUGAUCAGUCACACUGGAACUGAGACACGGUCCAGACUCCUACGGGAGGCAGCAGUGGGGAAUAUUGGACAAUGGGCGAAAGCCUGAUCCAGCCAUGCCGUGUGUGUGAAGAAGGUCUUCGGAUUGUAAAGCACUUUAAGUUGGGAGGAAGGGCAGUAAGUUAAUACCUUGCUGUUUUGACGUUACCAACAGAAUAAGCACCGGCUAACUUCGUG